UACGGGGGGGGGCAAGCGUUGUUCGGAAUUACUGGGCGUAAAGGGCUCGUAGGUGGUCAACUAAGUCGGACGUGAAAUCCCUCGGCUUAACCGGGGAACUGCGUCCGAUACUGGAUGACUUGAGUUCGGGAGAGGGAUGCGGAAUUCCAGGUGUAGCGGUGAAAUGCGUAGAUAUCAGGAGGAACACCAGCGGCGAAGGCGGCGCUCUGGGCCGGAACUGACGCUGAGGAGCGAAAGCGUGGGUAGCAAACAGG
rnacentral:rRNA from 1 species